ensembl:lncRNA
CAAAAUCUCACGAUACAUGGCCCCAUUCAUUCUUUCCUUUACACGGAUCAGUCGUCCUGGUCUCUUUGCAGAAAAACAGCCCCAAAGCAUGAUGUUUCCACCCCCAUGCUUCACAGUAGGUAUGGUGUUCUUUGGAUGCAACUCAGCAUUCUUUGUCCUCCAAACACGACAAGUUGAGUUUUUACCAAAAAGUUAUAUUUUGGUUUCAUCUGACCACACGACAUUAUCCCAAUCUUCUUCUGGAUCAUCCAAAUGCUCUCUAGCAAACUUCAGACGGGCCUGGACAUGUACUAGCUUUAGCAGGGGGACACGUCUGGCACUGCAGGAUUUGAGUCCAUGGCAGCGUAGUGGGUUACUGAUGGUAGGCUUUGUUACUUUGGUCCCAGCUUUCUGCAGGACAUUCACUAGGUCCCCCCGUGUGGUUCUGGGAUUUUUGCUCACCGUUCUUGUGAUCAUUUUGACCCCACGGGGUGAGAUCUUGCGUGGAGCCCCAGAUCGAGGGAGAUUAUCAGUGGUCUUGUAUGUCUUCCAUUUCCUAAUAAUUGCUCCCACAGUUGAUUUCUUCAAACCAAGCUGCUUACCUAUUGCAGAUUCAGUCUUCCCAGCCUGGUGCAGGUCUACAAUUUUGUUUAUGGUCAAAUCAAAUCAAAUCAAAUGUAUUUAUAUAGCCCUUCGUACAUCAGCUGAUAUCUCAAAGUGCUGUACAGAAACCCAGCAUAAAACCCCAAACAGCAAGCAAUGCAGGUGUAGAAGCACGGUGGCUAGGAAAAACUCACUAGAAAGGCCAAAACCUAGGAAGAAACCUAGAGAGGAACCAGGCUAUGUGGGGUGGCCAGUCCUCUUCUGGCUGUGCCAGGUGGAGAUUAUAACAGAACAUGGCCAAGAUGUUCAAAUGUUCAUAAAUGACCAGCAUGGUCGAAUAAUAAUAACGCAGAACAGUUGAAACUGGAGCAGCAGCACGGUCAGGUGGACUGGGGACAGCAAGGAGUCAUCAUGUCAGGUAGUCCUGGGGCAUGGUCCUAGGGCUCAGGUCCUCCAAGAGAGAGAAAGAAAGAGAGAAGGAGAGAAUUAGAGAACGC